UACGGAGGGUCAAGCGUUAUCCGGAUUCACUGGGUUUAAAGGGUGCGUAGGUGGCUUUGUAAGUCAGUGGUGAAAGCCUGGAGCUCAACUCCAGAACUGCCAUUGAUACUGCUUAGCUUGAAUCACGUCGAGGUGGAUGGAAUAAUCAUGUAGCGGUGAAAUGCUUAGAUAUGUAUUAGAACACCGAUUGCGAAGGCAGUUCACUAGGCGUGUAUUGACACUGAGGCACGAA
rnacentral:rRNA from 1 species